AUGUGUAUAGACAAAUGCAUGCUUCUGUGCAAAAAGGACCUUAAUUCGUCUCUGUUGAAUUUGCUUCCUACAUUCUGUGCCAUCAAACGAGAGCCGCACCCCUAUUUCAUCUCCCAACUGCUUCCCGACGGCGGCGGCGCUCCAGCUCCGGCGUCACAGCGGCGUGAUCUCGGCGGUGAGCCGGUGACCAUGGGUGGCGACUGCGACGGCCCGUCGACCCCGUCUUUGGACUGGUAA
rnacentral:rRNA from 1 species